rnacentral:rRNA from 1 species
AGAGUUUGAUCAUGGCUCAGAGCGAACGCUGGCGGCAUGCUUAACACAUGCAAGUCUCACGGGCAGCAAUGUCAGUGGCGGACGGGUGAGUAACGCGUAGGAAUCUGCCCCUGGGUGGGAACAACCGUUGGAAACGACGGCUAAUACCGCAUGAUGCCCGCGGCUGUGGUGGCCGCGGAUCAAAGGCGCAAGUCGCCCAGGGAGGAGCCUGCGUACGAUUAGCUAGUUGGUGGGGUAAUGGCCUACCAAGGCUGCGAUCGUUAGCUGGUCUGAGAGGAUGAUCAGCCACACUGGGACUGAGACACGGCCCAGACUCCUACGGGAGGCAGCAGUGGGGAAUAUUGGACAAUGGGCGAAAGCCUGAUCCAGCAAUGCCGCGUGUGUGAAGAAGGUCUUCGGAUUGUAAAGCACUUUCGGCGGGGACGAUGAUGACGGUACCCGCAGAAGAAGCCCCGGCUAACUUCGUGCCAGCAGCCGCGGUAAUACGAAGGGGGCUAGCGUUGCUCGGGAUGGCUGGGCGUAAAGGGCGCGUAGGCGGAUGGGACAGUCAGAUGUGAAAUUCCCCGGGCUCAACCUGGGGGCUGCAUUUGAUACGUUUCGUCUAGAGUGAGGAAGAGGGUCGUGGAAUUCCCAGUGUAGAGGUGAAAUUCGUAGAUAUUGGGAAGAACACCGGUGGCGAAGGCGGCGACCUGGUCCUUGACUGAGCUGAGGCGCGAAAGCGUGGGGAGCAAACAGGAUUAGAUACCCCCGUAGUCC